UACGAAGGGGGCUAGCGUUGUUCGGAAUUACUGGGCGUAAAGCGCACGUAGGCGGAUAUUUAAGUCAGAGGUGAAAUCCCAAGGCUCAACCUUGGAACUGCCUUUGAUACUGGGGAUCUUGAGUCCGGGAGAGGUGAGUGGAACUGCGAGUGUAGAGGUGAAAUUCGUAGAUAUUCGCAAGAACACCAGUGGCGAAGGCGGACUCACUGGUCCGGUACUGACGCUGAGGUGCGAAAGCGUGGGGGAGCAAACAGG
rnacentral:rRNA from 1 species